rnacentral:rRNA from 1 species
CGAGCGAACAGACGAGGAGCUUGCUCCUCUGACGUUAGCGGCGGACGGGUGAGUAACACGUGGAUAACCUACCUAUAAGACUGGGAUAACUUCGGGAAACCGGAGCUAAUACCGGAUAAUAUAUUGAACCGCAUGGUUCAAUAGUGAAAGACGGUUUUGCUGUCACUUAUAGAUGGAUCCGCGCCGCAUUAGCUAGUUGGUAAGGUAACGGCUUACCAAGGCAACGAUGCGUAGCCGACCUGAGAGGGUGAUCGGCCACACUGGAACUGAGACACGGUCCAGACUCCUACGGGAGGCAGCAGUAGGGAAUCUUCCGCAAUGGGCGAAAGCCUGACGGAGCAACGCCGCGUGAGUGAUGAAGGUCUUCGGAUCGUAAAACUCUGUUAUUAGGGAAGAACAAAUGUGUAAGUAACUAUGCACGUCUUGACGGUACCUAAUCAGAAAGCCACGGCUAACUACGUGCCAGCAGCCGCGGUAAUACGUAGGUGGCAAGCGUUAUCCGGAAUUAUUGGGCGUAAAGCGCGCGUAGGCGGUUUUUUAAGUCUGAUGUGAAAGCCCACGGCUCAACCGUGGAGGGUCAUUGGAAACUGGAAAACUUGAGUGCAGAAGAGGAAAGUGGAAUUCCAUGUGUAGCGGUGAGAUGCGCAGAGAUAUGGAGGAACACCAGUGGCGAAGGCGACUUUCUGGUCUGUAACUGACGCUGAUGUGCGAAAGCGUGGGGAUC